rnacentral:rRNA from 1 species
AUGCCUCAAGUAAAAUGUAGCAACAAGAGUAAGAAAGACUCUUCUUCUAGUAGUAACAAUAAUCAUGCUAAACCCAAUGUUGUUACCCCUAGUAGUUCUCUUGAUUCCACUAAUGAUUCUCUUAGCCAAGUUACACUUGAGCAAGAAAAUAGCUUAUUGAAGGGAAUUAUAGAGAAAGGUGUCUACAAGAGCCUUGCCGAAAGUAAGCAAUUUGAGGAAAUUGUACGCAAGCAAGGAAGGCACCGGAAGAAUCAAGGUGUUGGUUUUGAACGAAAGUUCAAUGCCAAUGGAGUUGAGUGGGAAGAAGAUCAAUACCCCAAGACAAAGUUUGUUCCUCAACAAGAGAAGUAUGAUCCUACUUCUUUCCAAGGGACACAAGCUCAAGAUGAUAUUCCACCACAAGACCACAAGCAAAAAGGCAAGGACAAGCUUCAGGAGGAUAUUGAUGCAUUUGAAGAAUCUCCCAAGGCCUUGGUCAAGUAG